AUUGAACGCUGGCGGCAUGCUUUACACAUGCAAGUCGAACGGUAACAGCACUUCGGUUGCUGACGAGUGGCGAACGGGUGAGUAAUACAUCGGAACGUGCCUAGUAGUGGGGGAUAACUACUCGAAAGAGUAGCUAAUACCGCAUGAGAUCUAAGGAUGAAAGCAGGGGACCUUCGGGCCUUGCUCUACUAGAGCGGCUGAUGGCAGAUUAGGUAGUUGGUGGGAUAAAAGCUUACCAAGCCGACGAUCUGUAGCUGGUCUGAGAGGACGACCAGCCACACGGGGACUGAGACACGGCCCAGACUACGACGGGAGGCAGCAGUGGGGAAUGUUGGACAAUGGGCGCAAGCCUGAUCCAGCAAUGCCGCGUGCAGGAUGAAGGCCUUCGGGUUGUAAACUGCUUGGGUAAGGAACGAAAAGCCCUCUUCUAAGACAGGAGGGUCAUGACGGUACCGUAAGAAUAAGCACCGGCUAACUACGUG
rnacentral:rRNA from 1 species